AUUGAACGCUGGCGGCAGGCCUAACACAUGCAAGUCGAGCGGAUGAAGGGAGCUUGCUCCUGGAUUCAGCGUCGGACGGGUGAGUAAUGCCUAGGAAUCUGCCUGGUAGUGGGGGAUAACGUCCGGAAACGGGCGCUAAUACCGCAUACGUCCUGAGGGAGAAAGUGGGGGAUCUUCGGACCUCACGCUAUCAGAUGAGCCUAGGUCGGAUUAGCUAGUUGGUGGGGUAAAGGCCUACCAAGGCGACGAUCCGUAACUGGUCUGAGAGGAUGAUCAGUCACACUGGAACUGAGACACGGUCCAGACUCCUACGGGAGGCAGCAGUGGGGAAUAUUGGACAAUGGGCGAAAGCCUGAUCCAGCCAUGCCGCGUGUGUGAAGAAGGUCUUCGGAUUGUAAAGCACUUUAAGUUGGGGGGAAGGGCAGUAAGUUAAUACCUUGCUGUUUUGACGUUACCAACAGAAUAAGCACCGGCUAACUUCGUG
rnacentral:rRNA from 1 species